GAUGAACGCUGGCGGCGUGCCUAAUAUAUGCAAGUCGAGCGAACAGAUAAGGAGCUUGCUCCUUUGACGUUAGCGGCGGACGGGUGAGUAGCACGUGGGUAACCUACCUAUAAGACUGGAAUAACUCCGGGAAACCGGGGCUAAUGCCGGAUAACAUUUAGAACCGCAUGGUUCUAAAGUGAAAGAUGGUUUUACUAUCACUUAUAGAUGGACCCGCGCCGUAUUAGCUAGUUGGUAAGGUAACGGCUUACCAAGGCAACGAUACGUAGCCGACCUGAGAGGGUGAUCGGCCACACUGGAACUGAGACACGGUCCAGACUCCUACGGGAGGCAGCAGUAGGGAAUCUUCCGCAAUGGGCGAAAGCCUGACGGAGCAACGCCGCGUGAGUGAUGAAGGUCUUCGGAUCGUAAAACUCUGUUAUUAGGGAAGAACAAAUGUGUAAGUAACUGUGCACGUCUUGACGGUACCUAAUCAGAAAGCCACGGCUAACUACGUG
rnacentral:rRNA from 1 species